UACGUAGGGGGCAAGCGUUGUCCGGAAUCAUUGGGCGUAAAGCGCGCGUAGGUGGUCCCGUAAGUCCGCUGUGAAAGUCAAAGGCUCAACCUUUGAAAGCCGGUGGAUACUGUGGGACUAGAGUACGGAAGAGGCGAGUGGAAUUCCUGGUGUAGCGGUGGAAUGCGCAGAUAUCAGGAGGAACACCAAUAGCGAAGGCAGCUCGCUGGGACGUUACUGACACUGAGGCGCGAAAGCGUGGGGAGCGAACAGG
rnacentral:rRNA from 1 species